CCUAUUGUCGGGGGAAAUACCUUUUUGGAUAGCAGAGCUAGCGAAUUUGGAGAUGUUGUUUUUGGAAGGUAAUCGACUCAGUGGACCAAUACCAGCCUGGAUCAACACAUUGGAAUACCUUUUCUACUUAGACAUAUCAAACAACAACCUUACAGGAGAAAUUCCGACAACAUUAAUGGCUAUGACAAUGCUAACUUCAGAGAAGACUGCAGCUCAUUUGGACCCAAGGGUCUUUCAUCUGCCAGUUUAUCGUGGUCCAUCACUUCAAUACCGCAUACCAAUUGCUUUUCCUAAAGCUCUAUACCUAAGCGGAAACAAAUUUACGGGUGUGAUUCCUCCAGAGAUUGGUCAUUUGAAAGCCCUCACUAAACUCGAUAUCAGCUUCAACAACUUGACAGGACCGAUCCCCCCAUCCAUCUGCAAUCUCACAAACCUGCAGUUGCUAGAUUUAUCCAACAACAAUCUCACAGGUGAAAUCCCAGCUGUAUUGGAGAACCUGUACUUCCUUGCCGUAUUCAACGUUUCUAAUAAUAAUCUCCAAGGGCCUAUCCCAACUGGCGGGCAAUUUAAUACAUUUCCAAAUUCUAGCUUUGCUGGGAAUCCAAGGAUGUGUGGACCUGGGCUUAAUCACCAUUGUACUUCGGUAGAGGUAGGUCUUGCGCCCACUGGCUCCAGAGGACUGUGUGGUGGCGACAUCGUCUUCGCUGUAUCCUUCAGUGUUUUCAUUGGAGUAGGAGUGCUAUAUGAUCAGAUGGUACUAUCCAGAUACUUCGGCUAGGAAAAACUUGCUUCAGCAACGUGUCCUGGAUUGAAGAAUGAAUAUAGGCACUGGAUGUAAUCAUGCAACUGAAGCUCUCAGCAAACAACGGGAACUUUGUAAGAAGUUAAUACCCAUAUAGAAACAUGACGUAAUCUCCAGUGUUUUUGCUUGAGCAAGUCCGACUUCGUUGGUCCAAAAACAUAAUCCUGCAAGCAAAUUCAGGAAUGGAGCGUUUACUGUCAGUAAACAGAGCAAUAUAUGUAUCUACAUCUUUUCCAGAGCACGGUAAAUAUUUUCAAAGUUUACUUUCACAUGUGUGAACACACGUGCUAAUCAGAUUGCUUAUCGAGGUGAAAAUAUUUGCUUUUUACAGUACACUCUCAAAGAAAUUAGUAGCUCAGAUUGUUUGUUUGGGUGUAGACUACUAGUAGUAGCUUAUAAUCCAAACUUAUCAUCCUAAUAAUUUGUAGAGGCGUGAGAUAACCAGCCGGUUUGGUGUCACUUAAUCGCACCUAAUUACCAAUUAUACAGGCAGGGCGAGCAAGAUGGAAAUUGACCUAAAACUAAAUUCUUCCAUUUGGCUCGAGAAUUUCAACAAAUGGUCGGAAGCAUCGCGCAGACAGUACCAAACCGUAAAUCUCCGUACGUAAACCUUGGGAGGGAGCAGAGCGGAGAGGUCGCCGAACGUACCACGCCAUCGGGCGCCCUGCAGAGCCGGGUCCGCCCCGGCCCCCCCCCCCCCCCCAGCCCCGGCCUUCGUACGCCGGCGCGCGUGCCCAUUUCUUCACCGCGCCGCCGCCCGCCGAUGCUGCUGCUCCGCUCUGGGACUUGGGAGGCGCCUGCGUGUUGGGAGAUGAUGAACUUGGGCCGGACCAUGAUCGGGGCGGGGGGACAUAGACCGAGCCGUUUUAGAUAGCAUCUUUGUUCGGCCUGCGAGGCGAGUAUUUUGAGCUGCUGGUGGUCUCUCGUUACAAACUGGGCCGCUUGCGGAGCAGUUUGGUCAUGAGGAGACUUUUCUUUCUUCAUAUUCUUUUUCCUUUUUCUAGGACCAUUGGCCAUCAAGCCUUCAUAAGUAUAUAUUAUUUGAUUUAGUACUUUUAAUAAUUUUUCUUCGAAACACAUUACGGGUGAAAAAACUGAUACACGCAUCACUCGACCCCUACGACUAAAUCCGCGCACACCAACCGUAAUUUCCUCGUGCGCUGCGCCCAGAUAGGGUCCCAUCGGAGGCGUGCGUGGCGAUUUCCUCACGCGUCGUCGCGAGGAAAUUAAGGCUAUGUUGGGUAUAACUUCAACUUCACAAUUUUUUUUUCUCCAAUGUCAAACUCUACUUGAGCUUGCUUCGAGUGGAAUUGGAGCCGUGUGCCCGUGGGCAAAAAUCUAGUAGGGUGAGGAUACGGGUGCCAUUUUGUAACUAUAGGUACGGAUCCAGGUUUGAGUUUGUGCUUGCGGGUAAAAAAUUAGCGGGUAUAAAAAUAUCUUACUCGUGCCCGCAAACCCGCCUACCAUGUGGACCAUGUGCAAGUAUAUAAUGGAUUUUUCUAGAGUUCCGUCUACUCCUUAUCCUCCCAUUGUCCCGCAGCCUGCAGCCUCCGCUCGGCCGCUCCCACUCCCGCCGAGGCGCAAACCUGCACCAUUGGUUCCCUGCCGCCCGCCCUCGCCCAGGUGGCCGCCGCUAGUUCCCCCUGCUACCCGCCCUCACCCAGGCGGUUGCCGCCAGUUCCCCAGCCGCCCGUCCUUGCCCAUCGCUUCCCGCCGCCCGCCCUCGCUCCCCGCUGCCACCGCUCCGCCCGCCCACCUCCCGCCGCCCCAACCGCUGGUCAAUCCACUCAGUUUUCUUCCUUCUCUGUGAUCUGGCUUGAAGAAGAAAUUGAAUAUGUGAUCUGGCUAUGAUUAAGAUGUGUAGGUUAUCUGUGAUCUAGCUACUGGCUUGUGAACUGUGAUCUGGCAGGUACCGGUGUGCCCAUGGGUAACAGGUGCGGGUACAAGUUCUUUCCCGUGACGGGUCACGGGCACAGGAUUUGCUUCGCUGACGCGAGUUUGUAAACCCUCUGCCUGCGGGUAAUGUGCCCGUUGCUAUCCAUAGGCUGGAAUGGUGCUCUUUGCUUCACAAAAGAGAAUUAACCUUCGUGUGAGCUAUUCUUUCUCGGUCCUGUGAAGUGGUUUAUCAGAUGAAAUCCGACGGACUGCCGAGUUAACUUGAUUAAAGCACAUGAUCGCGUGUUAGGCGACUUAAUUGUGCUUUAGCUAAGUUAAUUAGGGCGGUUCCGCCACAAUUUGUUCUUUUUUAUUUUUUCCUUUUGCGCUUAUCUUCUUCGUCGGGCCCUUCGAGGGUCGCCCGCGACCCUGCUCCGGCGAGGUUUUGAUGGCUCCGCUAGGGGAUGAGGGUGGCGGUGGUGGUGGGAUGGGGACGCCGGUGGUGCGGGAAGGGCUCGGCAGGAGGCAGCGCGGCUAGGGCGCAUCGGCGGGGGCAUCAGCGAGGCGAGGUAAGGCACGUGCCGACAAGCUUGGGGUGGGCGGAGUCGGGCAGCGAUGGAGACGAGCUUGGGCCGUGCGGCGUCAGGCACGGGGACGACGAGCCUAGGGUGGGCAGAGUCGGGCAGGAUGACGAUGAGCUUAGGGCGACGGUGGGCAGCUGGAUCUGGGUGGCGUCCAGGGUCCAGCCAGGGGCGGGGAAAUAGUGGCUCCGCGGAGUCCCUGGUCCUCAGAUGCACGGCGGGUGAGAGAGGGAUGGCUCGAGCAGCAAUCUGGUCAGGUGGGGGUGGUGGCAGUGCCCUUGACCCCCUGCGCGGUGAGUCGGGAGAGACGAGGGGGCGGAUGGGUGAGAGAGGAGGCGUCAGAAGAAUGAAAUUAGAACGAAUCGGUAAUGAGCCAUAAAGGUGGGUAAAUAACCCUGAACUUCGCGUCUAGAUCCAUAUUUGAGCGUUCUGGAGUUGCAAAUUCAGUGGGGACAAGCGAGAGCUCCGACUCCGAGUGCUCCAACGACGACGAGUGCUCAGACGACGACGAGGUCCUAAGCAUCGCGAUUGGGCGGUGCGUGGUGAUCCUGUCGGAGGUGCUGGAGAGCUGGGAGGCCGCGGAGGAGCGGCGCGGCCACACGCGGCAGACACGCCGCGAGGCCGGCGAGCAGUGCGUGGCUUUGCUCAUCACCGCCGUCAACCAUUGAGGAGAACGGGAGCUGUAUCACUCAUUUGCGCUGGGAGCCGAGAUGCAGGGAAGGGGAACCAUCGCACCUGGAGAGCUGAGCGAGCCUUGUCCUUGCAUAGAGCCGCGUCCAUCAGAGUGCUGGAAGCCGAGUCCAUAGAAAUCGUCGGAUCGCUGGGACGUCCACACAUCAGCCAUCCAAUGUGGGUCCGCACGGGAGGAACUGUGCGCACUGUCCCCACUGAAUUUUCUUCCGCAAAUAAGGUGCUCCACAAAAAUUCUAUGGAGUUAGGGCGUGUUUGGAACUACUCCGCUCCAGUUUUUUCAGCUCCGCUCUCAAACCACCUUGCCAAACACCUCUAACUCCAACAAUCCCAACUCUAGAAAAAAGUGGAUCUGAAGGGCAACUCUAAGGUUUUUCUGGUAGGUUUCAUACCUUCUCUUGAAGUUGGGUGGAAAUUACCGACCAAUGCUACUGGUUACACAUGCACGUACCGGUUCGACGGAACAAUAGAUCAACGCCCCCUCCUACCCCCGACUGUUCAUCGACACCCCCCUCCCCUUCCCUCUCGCGACUGUUCUGUGCAGCCGCCGCCUCCUCCCCUCCCUCCGGCGCCCAAAAAACCGGCGGCAUGGACGUCGAUGAUGAUGCUCAACCCCUUUCCCCCAUCAUGGCACCGCGACGUCAAGCCCCAUGACAUCCUCAUGGAUGCCGCCAAGAAGGACGAUGAGGAGGACGGUGUUGAGGGCGAGGGAGAGGCGGCGCCAUGCACACGGCUGGCGGACUUCGAGUCCACGGCGUGGGUGGGCAUGGGGGCCUUGGCCACGCGGAGGGGCUGAUGGGGACGCCCCACUACGUGGCGCCCGAGGUGGUGUCUGGUGGCGAGUACAGCACCAAGGCCGAUGUGUGGAGCGCUGGGGCGGUGAUGUACGCACUGCUCUCCGAUGGCGCGCUCCCCUUCAGCGGUAAGAGCGCCGCGGAGGUGCCGGCGGUCGUGAUGCGGGGUAGCGUGCGGUUCCUUCCCAGGCUGUUCGGCGGCGUGUCCCCGGCCGCCAAGGACUUGAUGAGGCGCAUGAUCUACCGCGACGAGUGGAGGAGGUUCACCGCUGAGCAAGUCCUCGAUGAGUAAUCCCCUCAACCCCCUCUCUCUGCUCGGUUUUCUCAUCAAUCUCCGUUUGUUUUUGCGUCGACCCCAAGUUCGAUCCAGGAAUCUAACAAAUCUGCCGUUGUUAAUAUUGCAGCUCACCCGUGGAUCGUGAGCGGCGUUAGAGCCCGUGCUGUAGGGUAGCCAACCUAAAGCGACACACACCAACAGACCAUGGCGGAUGGGGCAUGUUAACAUGUAUCGUCGUAGAGAUACAGCCACGAACACUGACGUUGUGUAUACGGUUUUGUACGUAGGAACAGGGACCAAGGAGAGUGACGAAGAGUUUGUAUGCUGCUGCCGGCUGCAGCUUAGCAUCGUGCGGUGCCGUUGCAGCAAAGCAUGUCGAUCGGCGACAAAGCUUUUACUCUAUAGGUUUUUCCAGUACCUCGAUCUUCAUGCAAAAAAAAAAAAUUAGAUGAAGAACUGUAGCAAAUAGGUACUGUAGCUCAUGCAGAAAACACCAACCCCAACCAAGGGCAAGAAAGACUAUUUGCACCAAUUCUCACAAUUUCUAGAGCUGAAGUUUACACCGUUAGCCAAACAGGUUCAUAGCUCCUUAUUUUCCUGGAUUUGGUGGAGUGAAGCUAAAAAAGGUGGAGUUAGUGGAGUAGAGCUAUUUUUUCUUGGAGGGGAGCCGUCCCAAACAUACCCUUACAUUAUUCAAAAAGUGGUGGAGUUAACUUGUUUAGCUGGCUCCAUUCAACUCCGGACUAAAAUUUAAAUUCGGAGCCAUACAAAUAGGACAUAACCCCACAGUUUUUUUUGAAAAUAGGAACUCCCACAUUUCAAGCAUGGCUUGUUAGCUGAAACAGUCCAACGCGUUGAUCACGCGUUCCAAACAUGGGCGGAAGCCUGAAGAUGUCCAAAGGUAUGGGCCCGCAUGUCAGUACAGCAGCAGCCCGUUUCGUUCGUCCAGCUGUGACCGGAUGGGCAAAGCAGGCUGCAAUUACGGAUGGUGGUGCAUUUGGAUUUUCAGACUGAGUCGUGCUGUCGCGUUGUGGUGGGGUCAAGUUUCGAAAGUCUGAACCUGUAGUUAUGGACGUCGCCACCUCGCUCUUCCCCGUUUGCGAGGAUGGAUACAGAUGUCGGAAUAUUCAUUUUAAUGUGAGUAUCAAAUGAAUAUAUUCGAAUUUGAUUUUCGGUAUUUUUCUCUACUCGGUUCCAGAUUCAACUCAAAAAACCGUCUUGCUCGCGGAGGAACUACAAUGGCACCCACCUUCCCCCCACCGCCGCCCCGCCGCCCACCGCCACCCCGCCCCUCGCCGGCGACGACCGGACCCCCCUCGCCCCUACGCCUCCUCCGCAGAUCACCACCCCACCAAGCCCCCCUGCAGCCAUGCCCCCCACCACCAACCUCCCCACGCGCACGUUCGUCCUGGAAGAAGUUCUUCUCCCCGUCCCCGCCUCCACCCCCCCGCGACGGCCGACCACUGCCCCUCGACGAUGAGUGGGUGCCGGAUUCGCCAGAUCCACGCGUCCCCUCACCUGAUCUGCGGCUUCCGACGGCGGAUCUGGUGCCGGAGUGCCACCCCGGAAGGCGAAGGUCCUACGCGGAGGUUGUCAAGGGGGAGGCCUUCAAUUCCCCCACCUAUCCUCCCGUCCGGCGCUCCAAAGAAGUCCACCAUGGCCCUGCCAGAGGAAGAGGCAGUUACUCCGGCGACGCGACUGCUCUACGGCGCAGUCAACACACCACGACGUCAGUGGCUCACCGGGCCAAGCGCGACACGACACCGGGGCUCCAAACGCGUCAACCGGAUCAAGGGUGGCAGCCAGUGACGCGCCGUUAGGCGCAGGAGCGGGCGCCGCCCGAGAAGCCGCAACGAGACGGCGGACAUGACCGCCACUACAGGAGCUCUUCAAGGAAGCCACCCACCAAAGCUCUGCUCGACUUCAACCGCGUGACUGCGGGGCGAUGCUUCAUCUGCCUCGCACCUGACCACCGUGCCGCCUCCUGCCGUGACCCGGUGCGCUGCUUCCGUUGCAGACGCUUCGGCCACAAGGAGCGGGACUGCAAGGACAGGAUCGCCGCUUCCUCCCCAUCCCGCCCCAAAACCCCUACCAGCCACCGCCCUGUUCCCCCCGCGCCACGCCCAACUCCCAAGCCCCGGCCACGCAACCACGCCUCCGUCUCCACCAUGCCGCGCACCUUGCUCACAUCAGCUGCCCCACCUCUGCCGCCAAGCCGCAAGACCACCAGCAACAUGGCCAUUGGCGACCCCCACACGCGCCCGGAGGUCGAGACGAUCUUCGUCUCCGAUUCCUUCCACCUCGAGCACGACGCGAGGGAGUGGGAGGCAUGCGCCCUCAUCCCAUGGGCGCUACAUCUGCCGCCAGGUGCCGGAGCCUGGGACAUCGCGGGGCUCAUCAACAAGGAGCUACACCUGCGCCCCGGCGAAGUCAACGUCACGCUUCACCAGCCGGAACCGUACCUCGUCCGCUUCGACAGUGCGACACGGGCGGCGGAAGCACGGCGCCGCGGACGCUUCACUGGUGGGGGAAUCGACAUCUGCCUCCGGCCAUGGCGCAGCCUCUCCCACGCCCUCGGCUUCCGCAUCUUCUACAGGGUGCGGCUUUGCCUCGACAGCAUACCGAGCCACGCCUGGACGCCGGAAAUCGUCAAGCGCGUCAUCGGCCACAAGUGUGCAUUGCAGCACAUCGUCACCGACCUCAUCCAACCGGCGGACUCCAGGCACAUCGAGCUCUGGGCGUGGACGGUGGACCCGAGCGAGAUCCCGAAGAAGGUUUGGCUUGCUUUCGUCCACAACCCGGUAACCAAAUCCUCCACCUUCUCUGUGUCGGCCGAACCUCCUCUAAUGUCUUGGCAGCAAGGAGCCCGCUAUGAGGUCUUCAUCCAUAUGCCCCUCCUGGAGGACUACACGGCGGCGGCGCGCAAUCUUCAGCAAGCCGUCAACGACCCGGAGAACAUUACUCCGAUUCGUCGUCGGUACGAAUGGCGGUAUGGCCUUGUUGAUGGCGCCCCAUCGGACGCGAGAUCGCGCUUCCCGGCUAGGCUGCCGCGGCCACCGCGAGAGCCUGAUUCUCGGACCCACGACGACCACGGCGACAGAAGGAUGGAGGACCAGCGACGCGGGAGGAACGGAGCCUCUGGUGCCGCCGCCGGCGGGCGCGGAGUCUCCGGUGAAGGCGAUGCGGCUGGCGGCGGACACGGGCGGGGACGACACGCUCGCCAAGACGACAGGAGCCGCACCAAGCUCCGGACGGCCCGACAAUCCUGCAAAAGUGAUUUUGUCUGGCCGUCCCGGCGCGGGGGCGACGACGACGAUGAGCACCCGGACUACGACCACCCAGGCCAUGGACGCAAGUUCGGCGACGCCUACUGGGGCUGCACGGAUACUGGGCACCACGACCGCACCAGGUCACCGCCCCGCCGCAACUACGCGCCGCCACAAGGACGACAUCAUGCAAUCGGCGCGCAGGAGCAGAGCAUCCACAACACGUCCCACCUCCGAGCUCUGUUCCAGGCCCAGGCGACCGCGAUGAUGAAGAACAACCAGGUAACGACACCCACUAACUGUCUUGCUCUGGAAGCCAGGAACAGGGACCUCCACGCCGACGACUACGCACGCAAGAUCUCCUGGCUCGCCGACCGCCUAGGCUUCGACGACACACCCUCGGGGGAAAAAGCCUGGUCCGCAACCAUCCCGCUGCCCCAAGUCUUCGGCACCCUGCGGGCGGCACUCCUUCCGGCGACGCCAUCGCCGGGGGCGGCACUUCUCCCGGCGACGCCAUCGCCAACGGUGGCAGACAUCGAACGGGCGCUCGACGCCAUGUCUGUCGGCAUCGAGCAGGCCACAGCAACAGGAGGCCGCGCCGACGACCAAAAGAGGGGGCCGCUGGCUGCUGGGCCAACGGCUCAGGAGACGCCCCAGCUGGGCCACCGGCCCACAUCACAUGGCCCCGGCGCGACCUUCGCUGAGGGGCCGACUGCGACCGGGGCCUCCGUCCGCCGAUCCCCCAUACCGGGCCGCUCGCCAACGACACCGAUCCAGAUGGCGACGCAUGACGGCCCAGCGGCACAGGGAGCCCCCUCCCCGCCGUUUGCUGGGUCGCUGGCCCAUGCGGCCACCUCUGCAGAACGGGCAACUCGCCAGGUCGGGCCCAAGGACAUGGGCUUCAACGAGCAAGCCGGUCAAGAGAGCCCGCUGAACGGGCAGAGGGAGGAAGAGUAGGAUCUGAGGGAGAUUAAUUCCCUCUUUUGCAAUCCACCUCCACCACUGCUCCAGGAGCCGCACCCGCGUCGCCAACGUCAACGCCGCACCUUCGACAUGACAGCGGUUCGAAGGAGUGCACGACUGGCUAGGAAGCCAUCCAUCCCGGUGACCGAGAAGGCGCAAAGGAACUUAUGCCGCAAGCUGGGACUAACCACUAAAGAAAGGGCACCAAUUGACGAGGUCCUUCGCGACUUCCUGUCAAUGUUCCAAGGACCCAUCCCGGAGAACAUAGUGGCAGCCCUGACGGCCAUCUUUGGGUUGGACGAUGAAGGCGCGGACAUGCUAGGAGACGCACUCAUGAACCACGCAGGCACGGCCGCGGCGGAGCUACAGCAGAUUAAUGGGGACCCCACAGCUUAGAGCGGCGACAACAACUUCGAGCGUCCACCGUCACUACAUGUCGUUCGUCCUUAUGUUUGUAUCACCAACUGCACUGCAAAGCCCUGUUGGCUGCGACCUUCGGGCUCUUUAUCUUCCACGCCCUGCUGGCUUCGACCUUCGGGCAUUUAUUUGUAUCACGAACCUACGAACUGCCGUACACCUAGGGGGGUCUGCUGCCCACGUCGUUCUUAGGCCACGCCUAACAACAACCACAAACAGCACCUUUUGCAUAACCGCCGAAGAACUUAAUCGACCAAAACGCUGCAGCGACAUAUACUACAUGAGGCCGAAAACUGCUUUAUGACAUACGGCAACUUGGACAUUUUAUCGUGGAACGUUCGAGGACUAAACGCGGCAGCAUGCUGCCUACCCGUACAUGAUCUGAUGAGAUCGACGUCGUGUCAAAUUGCAUGCCUUCAGGAAACAAAACUGCAAUCCAUCGACUCCAGCCUGGCCGCCUUUCUAGGAGCCUACAAAUUAAACGGCUUUGCAUAUAAACCGGCGAUAGGCACGAAAGGAGGGAUCCUCCUCCUAUGGAACGACACGGCGGUACAAACUCAAAACAUAACAAUUGGUAGAUAUUCCAUAUCUGCGGAAAUAACAAUCCGGCAUUGCAUGACCACCUUCAAGCUGACCGUGGUAUACGGCCCGGUGCGACGACCCGAAAAAGAAGCUUUCCUAAGACACAUGCGACUGCUAAAACCAUCUGACGACACAAAAUGGAUAAUCCUAGGGGACUUCAAUUUAAUCUACCGUGCAAGAGAUAAAAACAAUAUGAACCUCAACCGGCGGCUUAUGAACAGGUUCAGAAACACCAUCAACUACUGCGGCUUAAAGGAAUUAAACCUGCAAAAUAGAAGAUUCACAUGGAGCAAUGAACGUAGGACACCAACGCUUGUCCGUCUCGACAGAGUUUUCUGCAACCAAAGCUGGGACCUCCAAUUUGAUAAUUGCCUACUGCACGCGCUAUCAUCAGCCCACUCCGACCACUCUCCUCUACUACUAACCAACCAUGCCACCCUCCGACGCCCGACAACCUUCAAAUUCGAAAACUUCUGGGUACGAUUGCCAAAUUUUCAACAGGUCGUCUCCACGGCUUGGAAUAGGCCGACUCAUCAUACGGAGCCUUUUCACAGACUGGGCCAUAAACUUUAUGUGACAUCGCAGGCGCUAAGACGCUGGAGCGAAUCAAUGCUAUCGGACGUAAAAAUGAAGAUGCAUAUGGCUCGGGAGGUCAUACUACGUCUCGAUGAGGCACAAGACAACCGCGCACUAUCUGCGGCGGAAACACAACUAAGGGGCAAACUCAAACAGAGACUCAUGGGAUGGGCAGUCAUCGAGAGAGCCAGGAAAAAGCAAUGCUCCAGAGUCACAUAUCUAAAAGAAGGAGAUGCCAACACAAGAUUUUUCCAUUUAAAGGCAAACGGCAGGAGGAGAAAAAACUUCAUUCAAAAACUAAGUAACGACAAUGGCUGGGCCUUCACCCAUAACGACAAACAACAAAUCGUGCAAGACCAUUUCCAAAAUGUUAUGCAGGAACCGCCGCGCAGAACGCUCGACUUAAACUGGUCCGCUCUAACCUUCCCGACUGUCGACCUGUCUACGCUCGAUAACCCGUUCAUGGAAGACGAAGUCCGACGGGCUGUCUCACAGAUGCCAAAAAACAAAGCGCCCGGACAUGACGAUUAUACAGGACUCUUCUUCACCACCUGCUGGGAGACGAUCAAAGGUGACCUCAUGGCGGCAAUAUCUUCCUUCUUCAACUCUCGCUGCACAGAUUUAAACCUACUCAACAAAGCCACAAUCAUUCUAAUACCCAAAAAGGAAGGGGCUGAGAGCAUAGCAGAUUACAGGCCCAUCAGCCUGAUCCACGCGAUUGCGAAGAUCAUAACAAAGACCUUAGCCCUGCGCCUAGCUCCAUUCAUGAACCAAUUAGUCUCACCGUGCCAAAGCGCUUUCAUCAAAGGAAGAAGCAUUCAUGAUAAUUUCCUCUAUGUCCAAAACCUGGCACGCCGAUUCCACACACACAGUCAACCGACCCUGCUUAUGAAGCUCGACAUAUCCAAGGCUUUUGACUUAGUACGAUGGGACUACCUCCUCACCAUGAUGCAACGCAGAGGAUUCCCACCAAAAUGGAGAGACUGGAUCGCGGCUAUCCUGACCACGUCAACAUCACGAAUUUUACUCAACGGACUCCCCCUAGAACACAUACAACAUGGAAGAGGACUCCGCCAAGGGGACCCGCUCUCACCGCUACUUUUCAUCCUAGCGAUAGACCCCCUACAGUACCUGCUAUCGGCCGCCACGGAAAAGAGACUGCUUCAAAAACUAAAUAACCGUGCGGCAAAAAUGAGAACAUCAAUGUACGCUGACGACGCGGUGAUUUUCAUUAAGCCUACUACAAGGGACGUCACAAAUCUGAAGAACCUCCUGCAAAACUUCGGGGAAGCGACAGGCCUCAAGACGAACAUCCAAAAAACUAGCGUCACACCGAUAAGCUGCUCCCACACUAACAUCCCAGAAGCGCUCCGCAAUCUCCCUGUGGCACAGAGGAAUUUCCCGAUAAAAUACCUGGGCCUUCCUCUAACGGUCGCACGACUACGCCGUAUAGAUUUCCAACCACUGAUCGACAAAGUGGCGAGCAAACUGUCAAAGUGGAAGGGAAGGAACCUCACACAGGCCGGUCGAUUAUGCCUCACCAAAUCCGUCCUAUCCUCACAGCCCGUCUACACCCUAACGGCCCUCAGAACGCCCAAAGAAGUACUAGAGGACAUCGACAAAAUCAGAAAACAUUUUCUAUGGGCGGGAGACAACGAGCUCACCGGGGGAAAAUGCAAGAUCAACUGGACAAGGACAACUUUACCAAAAGAGCAUGGCGGCGUGGGUAUUCUAGACCUUCAUAAAUUCGCAAGAGCACUCCGCCUCAGAUGGCUAUGGCAUGAAUGGGCUUCCCCGGACAAGACGUGGGUCGGAACCGCAACUCCAUGUGACGACCAGGAUAGACUGCUUUUCGCUGCAUGUACGACGAUCCAAAUCGGCAAUGGGGACAGGACACGAUUCUGGCAGGAUGCAUGGGUAGCAGGCCGACGACCAAAAGACAUCGCUCCACAACUCUACGCAAAAACCAAAAGGAAGAAGAAGACAGUGCGAGAGGCAAUCUACAACAAUAACUGGAUCAGAGAUCUUCAGCUCACAACAGGCCUUACAAAGACCUAUGGCCUCUAAUCCAACAAUACCAUUUAAACCCGACUCAGGAGGACGAAAUCACAUGGAAAUUCACCCGGAGCGGUCAGUAUACCACUGCUUCAGCAUAUAAGGCCCAACUCCUAGGCACCGUGAAGACGACUAAUCUUGCAACAGUGUGGCAAGCCUGGGCACCAGCAAAAUGCAAAGUUUUUGCCUGGCUAAUCCUCCAAAAUAGGGUCUGGACUUCGGACAGAUUAGCAAAACGGGGCUGGGACCAAACCCCAACAUGCACCCUGUGCCGAUGCACGAUGGAGACCGCGCACCAUCUCCUAGCCGAAUGCAGAUACACAAAGCAAAUCUGGAAACUCGUAGCCCAAUGGUUGUCACAGGAAAGCCUGCAACCGGAUCAAUGGAAGCACAGCAUAACGGCCAUAAAUUGGUGGACCAAUAUCACAUCAACAACAGGAAUCCCGCGUACAGCGUCCCGAAGCCUCGCCCUCCUUAUUAUGUGGGAAAUAUGGAACGAGCGAAAUUCACGUAUCUUCCGCCACCAGGGUUCCCCGACGACCUCGCUAGUAGCAAAAAUCAAAUCUUCAACCAACAUGUGGGUAGCAGCGGGAGCGAGAGGGUCCUUCUUUUAUAAACACAACACUCUGCCUCUCUAUCCUUUUUCCUUUUUUCCUUUUUCCCUCUUCCUUGCCUGGCUCGCCGGCUGUAACCCUACUCUAUCAAUGAAAUAGGCACACUCUCGUGCCUUUUUCCUUUAAAAAAAAUAUUCGAUAAAAAUGUAAAAUAUCCUACGUUAUCCGUAUCCGCAAAGAAUAAAAUAGCCAACAAAGCCAUCUAAAACUUAUUUAUAUUACUAAAUACUAAUUACAAAUAAUUUUAAUUUUAAUAUUGCUAAUAAAAUAAUUAUUUACACCAUUUAAACUAUUAAAAAAUGAUAGAGUUUACUUAAUUUUAAUAUUACUAAUCAUAUUAAUUUUAACUACAUUAUAUUAUUUAUUAAAUGAAUAAAUCAACAUUAAAUGUAUUAAUGAACUUAUUUUUAUAUUAAGUGAUAACAAAUUUUAUGUAAGUCUCUCUCGUUGCCUGACUGCGUGCGCGACCUGCCUGCCUGUCCUGGCUGCAGUCUCUCUCGUUGGCUCUGAACCUGAUUAGCGAUAACAAAUUUUAUGUAAGUUAUCGCAUGCUACAAAUAGGUAUGAGUAUCACGAAAACAUUUUUAAAAAAUAAAGCGUGAAGAAAGAAACGAACCGAGCACUAUUGUGCAACAAACAAACGGACAAACCAAGAGGGAUGCAUGCAAUGCCAGCUCAGCACCUUCGCCAGCUACUAGUAGAGUAAACAUCAUAUCCUCUUCUGUGAGUUCUCGGAGCCUCAUCAGACGACACUUAGCUGUUCUGCAAUCAACGUCGCAAGGAAAGUACAGACACCCGAAAUCCUGCAACACCCACUAAAAACCAAUGUGAAAUGCAAAACCGCGCCCACUAAGCAAGUAGUAAGCACCAUCAACAUAAUCACGACUAGUCAGUAGAAUAAGAUUACACACCAAAAAAAGAAGAGAUUUUUAGCAUCACGACCUCGGGUCAAGCCGAGGGCGAUGACUCAGACGACGACUAGGGCGCCAGGUCACCCUCACUCACCACCUUCCAUUACCCUGCGCCUUUUUCUUAUUUUCUUGCUUCCACUUGCGCCUUCUAUUUUUCCAAACAAUGGCCACACUUUGACAGCGCCGAUGAUUGCUCUAAAGUAUUGUACGCACCUCCCGGAAAUGAUACUCUCCGUGUACUGAAUCUUGCAGAUCUUCAGUUUCUCGACAAAUUCACUCCUUUCCUGUUCACCGAAAAGGGUGCAUCAUCCUACAAAACAAAUAGUGCAUCACAGACUGAUCCUUUGUCAGUACUAAUACUAUGGUUAAGACAACAGGUUCGUUAAGUGAAGCUGGUAGGACAAGUGAUGGCAGAUCAUGUGAUCAUGUAAAAUAUGAGGGUGUUUGGAUACCCCUUGCUAAACUUUAUCACCUGUCACAUUGGAUGUUUGGAUACUAAUUAGAAGUAUUAAACAUAGUCUAAUUAUAAAACUAAUUACACAGAUGGAGUCUAAUUCGUGAGACGAAUCUAUUAAGCUUGAUUAGUUCAUGAUUUGACAAUGUGGGAGUCUAAUUCGCGAGAUGACUCUAUUAAGCUUAAUUAGUCCAUGAUCUGACAAUGUGGUGCUACAGUAACCAUUUGUUAAUGAUGGAUUAAUUAGCCUUAAUAGAUUUGUCUCGCGAAUUAGACUCCAUCUGUGUAAUUAGUUUUGUAAUUAGCUUAUAUUUUGGUCCUCCUAAUUAGCAUCCGAACAUCUGAUGUGACCCUGCUAAAGUUUAGCACCUCGUAUCCAAACAUCCCCUAGCAGGCUGUGCGUUAUGUGUGACGUCACUAUAUCACAUCAGGCUGUGCGUUAUGUGUGACGUCACUAUAUCACAUCAGGUAAAUCACGGCAGUGAUUCAACAAGGAUUGAUUCGAGGAUGACUAGAAAAAGCAAAUAUUUCGUAGGGUCAGUUGGACUUCUUUUAUGGAUUAUAGCAGGUAGCCACCAAUGAAGCAUACAAGUGUGAACAACAAGCUGCUGCUUUGCCUAUUCUAUACUGCAUUAAAAACGUACAAUGAUAAUGAGGAUUCUCCUAUAGUAGCAUAUGAUCCUUGACUUCAUUUUUUCUUUGUAGCGACCACGACUAGAAGGGAUCAGCAAGAUGGAGGCAGGAGCCACCUCCUUCUUCUACCUUAUGCUCUUCCCUGAUUAGACUCAGAACAUUGGUAUCUCAUCUAGACAGGAAACAAGUUAAGCGUCUGGUUUCCAUGCUACUUUCAACAGGAAGCCAUGCAGCCACUCCAAUUUCCAUACAAGAACUACAGCAGUAGGUUACCCAUACCUUCCCUUGGCUUUGCUGCUCUGCUGCUGAUCUCUUUGGCCACCCUCACCAGCUCUUGCACAGAGCAGGAGAAGAACUCCCUCCUCCAGUUCGUCUCUGGGCUCUCACAGGAUGCUGGCCUUGCAAAGUUAUGGCAGGUAGACACAGAUUGCUGCAAUUGGGAAGGCAUCACCUGCAACGGAAACAAAACAGUUAUUGAUGUCUCUCUAGCAUCUAGAGGCCUUGAGGGGCACAUAUCACAAUCCCUUGGGAACCUCACCGGACUGCAGCAGGUAAACUUGUCCUACAAUUUGCUGUCUGGUGGCCUGGCGCUGGAAUUGGUGUCAUCCAGCAGCAUCAUUGUCCUCGAUGUGAGCUUUAACCAGCUCAACGGAGACCUGCAUGAGUUUCCUUCUUCAAUCCCUGGACGGCCUCUACAGGUACUUAAUAUCUCAAGCAACUUGUUUACUGGGCAGUUUACAUCCACUACAUGGAAGGGGAUGCAGAAUUUGAUUGCACUCAAUGCCAGCAACAAUAGCUUUACUGGGCAUAUUCCAAGUCAUUUCUGUAACAUAUCACCAUCCUUUAGUGUGCUUGAACUCUCUUACAACAAACUCAGUGGUAGUAUCCCCCCAGGACUCGGCAAUUGCUCCAAGCUCAGAGUGCUCAAGGCUGGGCACAAUUACCUCAGUGGGACUCUCCCUGAAGAACUCUUCAAGGCUACCUUGUUGGAGCAUCUUUCUUUUUCCAGCAAUGGUUUACAAGGGAUACUUGAUAGCACGCAUAUAGUCAAACUCGGAAAAAUGGCCAUCCUUGAUCUUGGAGAAAACAAAUUCAGCGGAAUGAUUCCGGACUCCAUAGGUCAGCUCACGAGAUUGCAGGAACUCCAUUUGGAGUACAGCAGCAUGUCUGGGGAGUUGCCAUCAACCUUGAGCAACUGCACAGAUCUCAUAACACUUGACCUUAAGUGCAACAAUUUCAGUGGUGAACUCAACAAGGUCGGUUUCUCCAACUUCCCCAAUCUAAAAACCUUAGAUCUAAUGUGGAACAACUUCAGUGGCACAAUUCCAGAAAGCAUAUACUCAUGCAGAAACCUGAUUGCACUACGGCUGUCUUCAAAUAAGUUCCAUGGACAGUUAUCAAAAGGACUCAGCAAUCUGAAAUCCCUCUCCUUCCUGUCGCUCACAAACAACAGUUUUUCAAAUAUAACAAAUGCACUUCAGAUAUUAAGAAGCUCCAAGAACCUCACCACCCUUCUUCUUGGGUUAAAUUUCAUGAACGAGACCAUGCCAGACAAUGCCAGAAUUGAUGGUUUUGAGAAUCUUCGGGUUUUGGCCAUUACAGAUUGCUUAUUGUCGGGGGAAAUACCUUUUUGGAUAUCAGGGCUAGUGAAUUUGGAGAUGUUGUUUUUGCAAGGUAAUCGACUCACUGGACCAAUACCAGCCUGGAUCAAUACAAUGGAAUACCUUUUCUAUUUAGACAUAUCAAACAACAGCCUUACAGGAGAAAUUCCGACAACAUUAAUGGCUAUGCCAAUGCUAACUUCAGAGAAGACUGCAGCUCAUUUGGACCCAAGGGUCUUUUAUCUGCC
rnacentral:lncRNA from 1 species